rnacentral:rRNA from 1 species
UCGUAAACUUAAAUAGUCCUAGAACAAGACUAUUCGCCAGAGUACUAUCGGCAACAGCCCAAAACUCAAAGGACUUGGCGGUGCUUCAUAUCCUUCUAGAGGAGCCUGUUCUGUAAACGAUAAACCACGAUUAACCUCACCAAUCCUUGCUACUUCAGUCUAUAUACCGCCAUCUUCAGCAAACCCUAAAAAAGGAAUGAAAGUAAGCACAACYAUUGCACGUAAAAACGUUAGGUCAAGGUGUAACCUAUGGAUUGGGAAGAAAUGGGCUACAUUUUCUACAAUAAGAACACCCCYUAAACUUAYACGAAAGUUUUUAUGAAAUCUAAAAACUAAAGGAGGAUUUAGCAGUAAAUUAAGAAUAGAAUGCUUAAUUGAAUAAGGCCA